GGACUCGUAGCUCAGUCUGGUAGAGCACCGGACUCUUAAUCCGGGUGUCGCGGGUUCGAAUCCCGUCGAGUCCA
rnacentral:tRNA from 1 species